ACCUUUUGGUAAGUGGUCUAUGGAAUCAUGCAUUACUGGUUUGUGCGUGUGACUGUGUGCGCACUCUUCGUUCUUUUUCCUUUCUAUUGAAGACGCUAUUGUCCAGUUGAAAUAUUAUCGAUUAUUUAGAUAAUUGACAACCUGAGGAAUAAUUAUAAACAUCGUUUGACAUUUUUUGACGAACUUUACCGGUACUAUUAGGAUGUAUUCAUCUGCAUGUUUUGACUGCCUUUGAGCCAGUGGAUUACUGAACAAAACACGGCAACAAAACAACGUUUUUGGGAUAUAAAGAGGGACUUUAUCGAUCAAAACAACCAUUUAUUGUGUAGCUGGGACCCUUUGGAUUGCCAACAGAGGAAGAUCUUCAAAGGACCUGAGCCCUAGGACCAUGCCUCAGGACUACCUGGCAUGAUGACUCCUUGCUGUCCCCAGUCCACCUGGCCGUGCUGCUGCUCCAGUUUCAACUGUUCUGCCUGCGGCUUUGGAACCCUGACCUGUUCACCGGACGUGCUUGUUGCACCCUCGACAACUACUAUGAUUAUUAUUAUUAUUUGACCAUGCUGGUCAUUUAUGAACAUUUUAACAUCUUGACCAUGUUCUGUUAUAAUAUCCACCCUGCACAGCCAGAAGAGGACUGGCCAUCCCUCAUAGCCUGGUUCCUCUCUAGGUUUCUUCCUAGGUUUUUGGCCUUUCUAGGGAGUUUUUCCUAGCCACCGUGCUUCUUUCACAUGCAUUGCUUGCUGUUUGGGGUUUUAGGCUGGGUUUCUGUACAGCACUUUGAGAUAUCAGCUGAUGUACGAAGGGCUAUAUAAACACAUUUGAUUUGAUUUUCGGUCAAAAGAGAUGGUUGCAGCAACAUUAUGUACAAAACAAAGUUACACAUGUUGCAUGUGUGUGUGAUUAGUUGUGUUAGUGUGUUUUACCUGCUGAGCAAACAUGUUAGUGUGUCUGCUCUCACAGUGGGCCCACAGAGAGGGAGGAUCUACAGUGCUGUUAAUGGGG
rnacentral:lncRNA from 1 species